rnacentral:rRNA from 1 species
GUCCUGACGGUACCGGAAGAAUAAGCACCGGCUAACUUCGUGCCAGCAGCCGCGGUAAGACGAAGGGUGCAAGCGUUACUCGGAAUUACUGGGCGUAAAGCGUGCGCAGGCGGAUACGCGCAUCGGCGGUGAAAGCCCCCCGCUCAACGGGGGAGGGUCCGUCGAGAUGGCGUGUCUGGAGGCAGGGAGAGGCCAGUGGAAUUCCGGGUGUAGUGGUGAAAUGCGUAGAGAUCCGGAGGAACACCAGUGGCGAAGGCGGCUGGCUGGACCUGACCUGACGCUGAGGCGCGAAGGCGUGGGGAGCGAACGGG